rnacentral:rRNA from 1 species
GACGAACGCUGGCGGCGUGCUUAACACAUGCAAGUCGAACGGAAAGGCCCUGCUUUUGUGGGGUGCUCGAGUUGCGAACGGGUGAGUAACACGUGAGUAACCUGCCCUUUACUUUGGGAUAUCUUCAUGUAACUGGGUCUAUUACCGGAUAGGCUCUCCUUCUGCUUGGUGUGGGUUGGUUAGUUUCGGCGUUUGGGGAUGGACUGGCGGCUUAUCAGCUUGUUUGUUGGGUAGUGGCUUACCAAGGCUUUGACGGGUAGCCGGCCUGUGAGGGUGACCGGCCAAAAUGGGACUGAGAUACGGACCAGAAUGCAACGGGAGGCAGCAGUGGGGAAUAUUGCACAAUGGGCGGAAGCAAGAUGCAGAAACGCAGCGUGCGGGAUGACGGCCUUCGGGUUGUAAACCGCUUUAGACUGUGACGAAGCGUGAGUGACGGUAAUGGGUAAAGAAGCACCGGCUAACUACGUG